rnacentral:lncRNA from 1 species
AGUACAAUUCGAAUUAUGAAAAGGAAUAUGAUGAUGGACAUGGCUACACGGAUGGCCCAGGUGGUGCUUCUGGAUCUGAAUUCAUACCUAUGACAAACGUAAUUCAGCCUCCACCUCCAGGGCGGGGUCGUGCAGGACGAGCGGGACCUCCAGGAACUGGACGAGCGGGACCUCCAGGAACUGGACGAGCGGGACCUCCAGGAACUGGACGAGCGGGACCUCCAGGAACUGGACGAGCGGGACCUCCAGGAACUGGACGAGCGGGACCUCCAGGAACUGGACGAGCGGGGCCUCCAGGAACUGGACGCGCGGGACCUCCAGGAACUGGACGCGCGGGACCGCCGGGUUCAGUACCGCGAGGGCGUGCGGGACCGCCAGGACCAAUCAUGCGAGGGCGUUCAGGACCGCCUGGAUCAAUAGCACGGGGGCGUGGACCGCCGGGACGCGCCGGUCCUCCAGGCCGAGCUCCGAUGCCAGGGGCACCUCCGCCCAUGUAACGAAGACCGGCAAGGUAUUGGUUG